UACGAAGGGUGCAAGCGUUGUUCGGAAUUACUGGGCGUAAAGGGCGCGUAGGCGGGUCAGUAAGUCGAUUGUGAAAGCCCUGGGCUUAACCCGGGAAUGGCAGUCGAAACUACUGAUCUUGAAUGCUUGAGAGGAUGGCGGAAUUCCCGGUGUAGUAGUGAAAUACGUAGAUAUCGGGAAGAACACCUGAGGCGAAGGCGGCUAUCUGGCGAUGCAUUGACGCUGAGGCGCGAAAGCGUGGGGAGCAAACAGG
rnacentral:rRNA from 1 species